rnacentral:rRNA from 1 species
CUAGCGGUAAACGGUGUACGUUUGGUAUGGGAGGAUUCGACCCCUUCCGUGCCGGAGCUAACGCGUUAAACGUACCGCCUGGGGAGUACGGUCGCAAGAUUAAAACUCAAAGAAAUUGACGGGGGCCCGCACAAGCGGUGGAGUAUGUGGCUUAAUUCGAUGCAACGCGAAGAACCUUACCUGGCCUUGACAUGCAUUUCUAAGUUGGUGAAAGCCAGCGAGUGUAGCAAUACACAACUUGCACAGGUGC